GAUUAGGGUAAGGGGUGCUCAGCGCCCGACCUCAACCCUUUGUUGUUAAAACUACCUUGUUGCUUUGGCGGGACCGCUCGGUCUCGAGCCGCUGGGGAUUCGUCCCAGGCGAGCGCCCGCCAGAGUUAAACCAAACUCUUGUUAUUUAACCGGUCGUCUGAGUUAAAAUUUUGAAUAAAUCAAAACUUUCAACAACGGAUCUCUUGGUUCUCGCAUCGAUGAAGAACGCAGCGAAAUGCGAUAAGUAAUGUGAAUUGCAGAAUUCAGUGAAUCAUCGAAUCUUUGAACGCACAUUGCGCCCCUUGGUAUUCCGAGGGGCAUGCCUGUUCGAGCGUCAUUACACCACUCAAGCUAUGCUUGGUAUUGGGUGCCGUCCUUAGUUGGGCGCGCCUUAAAGACCUCGGCGAGGCCUCACCGGCUUUAGGCGUAGUAGAAUUUAUUCGAACGUCUGUCAAAGGAGAGGACUUCUGCCGACUGAAACCUUUAUUUUUCUAGGUUGACCUCGGAUCAGGUAGGGAUACCCGCUGAACUUAAGCAUAUCAAUAAGCGGAGGAAAGAAGUAAUUCUCCUUUUUCUUUCGCAUGUAUUAUUGUGGGAUAAAACGUGUAAGUAGUUCAAAAAGGAGGAGCAAGGGAGAGGGGCGGGCG
rnacentral:misc_RNA from 1 species